AAACAACAACACUUAUUGCCAUGAUAAUUAUAUUAAUUACUUCCGUUGGGAUAAGAAGGAUGAAUCUUCAUCUGAUUUUUUGAGAUUUUGCAGCCUCAUGACCAAUUUCCGCCAUGAAUGUGAAUCACUGGGAUUGGAUGGUUUCCCUACAGCAGAAAGGCUGCAAUGGCAUGGUCACACUCCUAGAACUCCAGAUUGGUCUGAAACAAGUCGAUUCGUUGCAUUUACACUGGUCGACAAAGUGAAGGGAGAACUAUAUAUUGCCUUCA
rnacentral:misc_RNA from 1 species